AGCAGCGUGGCGUGUACUUGAGCCGCACGCCCCAGUAGCCCAGCUCCUCCAGGAAGCGGCGCGGACACAGCCCGUCGAGCACCAGCAGCACCCCGGACAGGUAGAAAUUGUAGACCAGCUGGAAGACGGCCGGGUCGCGGUCGAAGAAGUAUUCGUCUGUCUGCUCCUCGUAGUCGUCGCACAGGCUUAGCUGGCGGCUGCGGCUGGUGGAGGUGGCCAGGCGACCUAGGCGCGUCUUGGGGAAGCCGGCCAGCUCGCAGUAGUCCAGCUGGUAGCUGUGGCCACCCACGUUCACAUUCAGCGUGGACAGCAGGGCCGGAGGGUCGCUGGGGCCCUCGGGCUUGGCGGUGGUGACCUCCCCUGCCUGCUGGUCCUCUUCUGCCAGGUCGUCCUUCCACUGGUCCUCCUCCUCGCCGUCUUCGUCUUCCUCGAUGUAGUAGUUAUAGUUGCCCUCUGUCCAGCCGUGGAUGCUGGCCUGGGAGCCGGAACGGGCACCCAGGGAGCAAAUGCUCCUGCGGUGUUGGCUGCCCUCAUUCUCCGUCGUGUUCCAGGGCCUGUAGCUCCAGGACCGUCUCCUCUCACUCUGUUUGAGCAUGGCUGCGGAAAGUGGACGCCUAGCUUUUUCCUCCUGGCUGUGGUAGGGGUCCCUCACCUGCUCACUGCCUCUAGGAGGAUGGAUCACGUGGCCUGCACUGUCUUAGAGAGGCCAGCCCGGACCAGCACAGCUAGGGGCUCAGACAUUGCCACCGGAGCUGCCCCUUCUCAGGUCCUGGGCAGGCCAGCCCAGCCUGCAGGGUCUGAACGCAGUCAGCUGUUGACUGCUCUAAUCUUGCUGAUUUGGAAGAAGCAAGUGUUAGGAGGGAUUUAGAACCUCUUAGCCCAUUUCCUCCCCCACUCCCUUGACCCUGUGAGGUAGAGGAUGAUUAUGUGGUCUUAAAUCUCUAGGUAAUCAGAAGAAGGCAGAGAUUAUUGCUAAUAAAAAUGUCGGUCAACCUCGCUCUUAGGAAGCGCUCAGUGUAUGUGUGCUGAGAUGAAAUCAACUGAAUUAGCUAUAGAAUACGGAUGCCUGUGUCUUCAGCUUCAUGGUUGAGAUGGUAGCCUCUGCCCUAGGUAAACUCACCAUUAGCAGGGAUGACACAUAGCAACGGAACAAAGCUGACUUCAUGACAAGUCAGUUUCCCUCUCAGCGUAACUCUUCGUUUAGAGCAUAUAAGAUCUAAAGCCAUCUCCUUCUUGUCCAUUCACAUGAUCACAUUUUUUUUUUUUUUUCAAAUGGAUUCUCCCUGGGGCACUGUUCAGGUCCAGUCGGAUCUUUGAGUCAGCUUCAGCUUCUCUCUCUCCUUUUUAUCUCCUCCCUUUCUCUUAAAGGAUAGAGACAUGUUUCAAGGUAGAAUUCCAGGAAUGGUAGGAAGACGUUUUUAGGGCCUCACAACCCUGCUCAGCAAUAUUAGGCCAUAUUUAAAGGGAGCCUGACUUCCACCCAAAAAAAAAGGGUCUUCUUCAUCCUUCAAAACAUCACUUUAAAAAAAAAAAAAAAACCCUUUUCAUGAUUAAGGCAAUGUGCAAAUGCUGGAUAUGCAAACACGAUGGAGACACAGUUGUAGCAGUCAAAGAACUCUUGGUUUUGUUGGGGAUAUAAACAUGCAAGGAUAACAAAAGAUGCAAUAAAUACUGGGGAGGAGAGAAGCAGGAGGGAUUUGCUUUGAGCAGGGAAUUGGUUUUUCUAUUCAAUUUAUUUUGCAUAGCUAAUACACAUUCAUGAUAAAAAAUUGUAAAGGUAAAAAGACAUAUUACAGUAGAAAGUUUAUGUCUUUCCCACCCAUAAUUUCAAGACAUCAGGUGUACCUCAAGGAAGCAACCACUAUUACUACCUUUUGGCUAUCCUUCCAGAAAUAUUCUAAACAUAUACAAGCAAAAAUAUACCUACCUUUAUCCAUCAUCUCAGUACCUCUUCAUUAUUAAUAGAAAUCAUAGAAUGCUAUAUACUUUGCCUUUUCCAGUUGGCCAUAUAAAAGAUGUUUUCAUAUUUGAACACAAAUAUCUACCUUAUUUUAAAAAUAGCCACUGAGCACUUUCCUAAUGACAGACAUUCAGAAUGUUUCUACCUUUGCUUUUAUGGACAAUUAUGCAACAAAUACCUUAUAUGUACAUCACUUUACACAUGUUCAAGAUAUAUAAAGGAUAAAUUCUUAGAGGUGAGAUUACUAGGUCAAAGAUUGCACAUUUGUAAUUUUGAUUAGUAGUGCUACAUUUCUCUCCAUAAAAGUUUUACCAAUUUACAAUUCAUCAACGGUUGAAAAUGUCUUAUACUUUUUUAACUCUACCAAUUUUGUAAGUGAAAAAUGAUGUGUGGGUUAAUUUGUAUUUCUUAUAAAUGUGAUUGAACACUUUUUCAUGUGAUUAAAAGCUAUUUCUUUUUCUGGGAA
rnacentral:lncRNA from 1 species